GGGCCUGUAGCUCAAUGGUAGAGCCGCGGACUUUUAAUCCGUUUGUUGUGGGUUCGAGUCCCACCGGGCCUA
rnacentral:tRNA from 2 species